rnacentral:lncRNA from 1 species
CCUUGUUAGCGCAUCUCCUUCGCAACCGUAAAAGAUUAUGACAAAUUUAUUUUACAAAAUUGCUCGUUAUAUCCUUUGCAUGAUUUGUCCUAUUUUGACCGAAGCGAUAUGACCGCUCCAUAUGAGAGUUAUUUCCCCUUAUGCAUCUGAUAUAAGUGAUAUGAAUUUCUAUCUUAUAAACCAUAAGUGAUAGAGACCUAGGAUCUUUUGAUUUGAGGUCCUUGGUCCCAAAAAAUGAAAAUUAGGUCAAGGUCAAAGGUCAAGGUCAUAUUUUAAUAUUUGAAUUUGGCUUAUUUUCACUUAUAUCCAAAGACUGUAGAAGAUAUCAACAAAUUAUUUUUACUAAAUUGUUAGUUGCGACAUGUCGUAAGAUGUAAAUUUUGAUUGCAAGCGUACGUUGAAUGUGAAAGGGAGUUUUUCUCCCCUCUUGUAUUAAAAAAUACGCGUUUGGUGAUAUAACUCAUUAACUAAAUAUAAUUAAGACCUAUGGUCUUUUGAUUUGAGGUCCUUGGUUUAUGACCUUGAAAUUGAUCUCAAGGUCAUAGCUUAAUUUGACGUUCUAUAUUUUGACCUUUGCUUUUAUUCUAUAUGUAUACAUGAUAAAGAUAUACAACUUUUAGAAAAAGGUAUCAAAGCCAUUUAACCUUGAAAAAAACCAACCGGAAGUGACCUUUUUUAAACCGGAAGUAGCUAUUUUUUGUACUUUAUUAAGAUAAAAGUAUAUAGAACCAGAUAUUUUUGGAAUCGGUUUCAAGUAAAUAUUUAAAUAUAAUCGGAAGUAACAUUUUUCAAACCGGAAGUAACAAAUUAUCUCCCUUAUUUAAAAAAAAAUGUAUGGAAGCAAUAUAUUUUUUGGAAUCAGCUUACUAAAAGCUAUCAUUUUGACAAUUGAAAUGACAUUUUAAACUUAGUUUCACAACUUUUCAUAUCAAAAAGGAUGGAAAGACCUUCAAUUGUUCUCUGAAUUUUUUUUUUUUUUUCUUCCACCUAAUUUUGUUCUUGCGAUAAACAUUUGUUUUGCAAUAUGUCGCUUAGAUAUUUGGUAUAUGAUAUCGAACAAUUGAUGCGCUUUUGAAAUUUACCCUGCGUAACCGAAAACUUUUCUUUGUAGGAGUAAUCUCCCCAAACACUGUUUUCCUUGUGAGCGCAAACUCCUUCGCAAACGUAAAAUAUUAUGACAAAUUUAUUUUACAAAAUUGCUCGUUAUAUCCUUUGCAUGAUUUGUCCUAUUUUGACCGAAGUGAUAUGAAUGCUCCAUACGAGAGUUAUUUCCCUUAUUCAUUUGAUAAAAGUGAAUUGCAUUUCUAACUGGUAAACCAUAAUUGAUAGAGACCUAGGAUCUUUUGAUUUGAGGUCCUUGGUCCAAAAAAAUGAAAAAUUAGGUCAAGGUCAAAGGUCAAG